rnacentral:rRNA from 1 species
UACGUAGGGGGCAAGCGUUGUCCGGAAUUAUUGGGCGUAAAGAGCUCGUAGGCGGUCUGUUGCGUCCGCUGUGAAAACUCGGGGCUUAACCCCGAGCCUGCAGUGGAUACGGGCAGACUAGAGGUAGGUAGGGGAGAAUGGAAUUCCCGGUGUAGCGGUGAAAUGCGCAGAUAUCGGGAGGAACACCGGUGGCGAAGGCGGUUCUCUGGGCCUUACCUGACGCUGAGGAGCCGAAA